UUGGGACUUUCAGCAGGGGCAGUAAUCUUGAUGUUUUGGACGUUGACAUUUUUAGUUUUUACCAAGAACAUGUGGAAGGCCUUUGCGUUGACCGAGCUAAUGCCGGAUAUGUCAAGAUUUAAGAUGUUUCUGAAUUUUAGAGACUGCAUGCAGGUGUAAGUAUGAUCAGUACAAAAAUAUUAGUUAAUGAUAUUAUUUUUAACUUAAAUCUUACCGUUGGAGGAAGAUUGCAGUUCAACUUUUUACCACAGCCAUCUGCUUUCCAAACGGCUUCACCUUUGCCGUGGAAUGUGCCGGGUCCGGUGAGGACGACAUUAUCGACAUGUUCGAAUAAGAACCAUUCAGGAGUCGGGUAUCCGCUUGGCGGAGCGAUGAUUGUGCCCUGAACUUCGACGGUCACUUUGCUCUUGCAUGGACCAGCAAAAAUUACUGGACCAGCCAAGAAAUCUCCUUUAGGGACUAGUAGCGUUGCUGGUACAGGACUGGCACACACUUGGAGCCAUGUGUUUAGAAACGCCUGUCGUACAAAUUUUUUUAGAAGAAAGAAACUAUUUUUUAUUAAUGUUUCUUGUCAUGUGUAUUUUACUAAUAAUAACAGUAACUUAAAUUAUGAAGCGAAACUCAAGCUAAUUCCAUAAAAUUAAAGAAAUCUUACCUUGGAAGAAUCGGUGGCACCAUUUCCCACUGCUCCAUUCUUAGUAAUAUCAAAGACCGUAGGGUUCCCGGCAACAGCGGCAAGGCCACGGCGGGCAUCGAGAUCUUCACCAUUAGCUACACAAGAACCUAACACCAAGGUCAUUAAGAUUAAUGAGCCUACAUUAGUAUUAUUUGCCUUGGCAACCAAACUUCUCGCGCUAGCCAUGGAGAUAAUGUAUAUAUAUAUAUAUUUUUUGUUUUUUUUUUGUUUUUUUGUUCUUUUAAAAAUGUGUUGACAAAUUUAAAAGUGAUUUGAUCAUUGGAGGAUUCAUGAUGUUUUAUAGGUUCGUUUGUGUGCUAUUUUUAGAUUUUACUCAAAUUAAAACGUGAUCCGCAAAAAAAGGAUGGAAAACUAUUUUGAACAAACUUAUGUGUGUAUGCAUAUUUAUACACUUCUGUAAGUUUUGCCUUCCCUUAUGUAGGGACUUUAUUGUUAUAUUAACACUUAGGCAAAUUACAGAGUUUUGAUAACACCAAGUUAUCAUUUAAUUUAACUCUGCUUUUGAUGUAUGAAUAUAUCAGAUUGUAGUGCUCGUUACAAACUUUACAAUGAGCCAAUAAUCUGAUCACGACCACCGCCGGUUUUUGGCCGGAAAAGUAAAAACACUCAUUUUUCAAAAUUGUGUUCCAACACAAUGUAAUAAGACCACUAGGUUUAGUCGCACUAACCACCCGUCCGUGUUUAUCUAUCUCUUUUCCAAGUGCAUCCACACUUCUGGAUUUUGCUCGGUUUCUGAGCAACUGCAACAUCUUUCUGUGGUUUCAUCCGAGCAGCCAGCUCCUGAGCUCGCUUAACAGCUUCAAAAAAUUGACUAGAAGUUUCCGAUGAAGAACGUGUCUAACUAACUUGAGUGUUGUUCUUAUCAAACUCCAUAGGCACAUCUUCAAACUUGCUCCUCCUCCUCUUGCAAGAUGAGAAGAGGAGUCAAGUGAAGAAAGUGGGAACUGCUGAUAACUCCACUGAUAUGUUCACUAAGUCGGUUACUCACAACAAGUUCAAACAUUUUUUGGAUUUGUUAAACAUCUCGAUCUGUUAAUCUAGCCCCAAGUGGGUAUCUGGCCCCGAGAGGGCAUCUGGUCCUAAAGAACGUCUGGCUUUAGUUGAGCGUCUGGCCCUGAAGAGCAUCUGGUUCAUGAUAGCAUCUGGCCCUGAAGGACAUCUGGCUGAUGAAGAACGUCUGGCUCUAGUUGAGUGUCUGGUCCUGAAGGGCAUCUGGUUCAUCAUAUCAUCUGUUCCGCAAGGACAUCUGGUCCAAAAGAACGCCUGAAGCAAAGAGAGAGUCUAGUACAUCUGGCACUGGUGAUAAUGCUUAUGAUACAUUGGUUUUUGGAAGAUUUAAGUCAAGGUGGAGAUUUGUUGUAAUAUCUUGAAUAUGCGUUUUACCUACAGCGCUGAAAUGCUCACUUCAGAAACCUAUCUUCAGCAUUUUAGACUUGUAAAGACAUCUGAGUUACCCAGAGCACUGAAAUGCCCACUUCAGUAAAACUGCAUAUUGCAUUUUAAUGCUCUAGAAAAUCCGAAUCAAUUUAGACCUUAUUGCUAGGUUUUCUAGGAGACCAAAUACCACUAUAUAUAUAUUUUUCCUCUUCUAAACUUAAUUAAUAGCUAAAAUAGAGAGCAAUCUGAUCUGUUCUUAUUGUAAACAGAUUUCUGUAAAUACUUCAUUAAUAAAAGUGUCUCUUUAUCCGUGGAAGUAUCCUAUUGGUAAACCACGUUAAAGCUUGUGUUCUUUUCAUUUAUUGCGUUUAUCCAUCUGUGUUUUCCGCAUCUGUUCUUCUAGCUUCCGUCACAGCACUUAGGUUUCUUGAUUCCUUCCCUAGCCCCAUUCUCUUUGCUCUCUGUCUUUCCUCUUUUUCCUCGCUUCGAUCUCCUUACUUCCUUCAUGCUGAGACCUCUCAUCACGAUGAUAGUGAUCUGAAUCACGACGCUUCGGAUCCUGGAUGCUACUGGAGUCUCUUCUUUUCUUUUUCCAUGAUGAAAAGCAAGGGCAUUAUUUAUACAGGACAUCAAUUUAUUUCCCUAGUGCACUCGAAAGUUUAUGCCGUUUUCAUAUUCCUUUUUUUUACUAGGAUAUUGGAAACUCCACAAAAGAAAAUUCUCAGCAAUCUAUCAAUAUUUUUCUGACCGUAUAGAUCCUCGGGAUACUUCUUCUGAGUUUGUUGUCGUGUCUAAGAGAAACAAUGGCAUGACUAAUUGUUUGUUGAUUAUAUAUAGAAGAGAAUAUAAACAAGCUAACUAAUUAUUUGUACGUAAGAGAAUCCAGGAACUUGUUCAAACUUCAGACAUACUGUUAUCAAAGCAACAUAAGAAUUUGUCGCUAGGUAUUUGACCCAAUAGGAUCGUCAUGUUUCUAUAGAACCUAUCACUAGAAUUGCAUGGGCCUCAUUUGAAUACUAGGAAAAAAGUAAAUCACUGGACUGGACACAUCAACCUUCCAGGUGUAGUUUGUAAAAGGGAAUGGAUGAUUCGUAUAAGUUUUCAAAUGAAUUUUAGAGGGUGGAAAGUUUUUGUUCUCAGCCUUGUAAUUAAUAAUAUCGUUGAAGAAGUUCUUGAGAUGGUGGACACUGAAGACAACGAUACUCUCAGUUAGCUUGACCAUUUAUAUGCUUGUUACUAAUAAAGUUAAGCUAAAUUUAAGAAAAAGCAAGCUUUCAGGCAACAGAUAGCUGAUGUUUUAAUUUUAUUUUGUUCCUUUGAUCCGAGCUUUUAAAUAGAGUUGUUUAAUGUGAAAUGGUUGUAUACAACUAUACACUAAACUCAUCACAGACCAAAGUUAUGACCAGAAAAUUUCAAGCAAUCAAUUGAAGGGUCUGUUUAUUAUAUUAUUACCACACAAAAAAAAUUUAGGAAUUAUAAUCAUAGAAAAAAUUAUCAAAAAGUCAUAUAUUAUUAUCGUUGAUAAACAUACAAACUAACUCACAAACAAAACAAAAAAAUGUUUGUGGAAACUUUUGAUUUGUUUUUCAACAUCAAGUUAUGUAUACCAAAAAAGCUUAUUUGGGACACAGAGGGAAGCUAAGUUUUCCACCGAAGAUAACAUUGGCGUUGGUACAAAGAGCUCCGACCAAACCUCCUGACGACGAGGGGUGUCCUCCUUUGUCACCUACGAAGUUCAAUUCCACGUCAACGACGCUGACUCCUUUGCACGGUACUGAUUUGCUGCACAUGAACUGAACUUCAUCUUUUGUAAUUGUUGUUCCUCUUACGUUCUUGAACAGCACAUUGCUUAUCGCAACUUUUGAAUCCUACAAAACACACAAAAAGUUUAUUUUCGUAAGCUGAUCAAGAGAAGUUUUGGUUUGAGAUUUUCUCGGGUAUAUAUACUUACUCCGCCUCUUGAGCCGUAGUUUUGGUCAAUGAUGAUUGGGUUCUUGACGUUUGUCAUCAUAAUAUCUUCAUAGGUGAUGUCCACAGCCGUGCUUGGAGACGAACCACCCCAACUCUUGAUUCUAAGACCAUUGUCGGUAUCUUUCAUGGUGCAAUUCCUAAAGUGAAUGCCGGCAACAUUCUCCUCGUUCGGGUACUUACCAAGACUACCGACACUUAGGCCGUGUCCUGGGCCACAAGUCACGCGUUCGACGGUUACAUUGGUGGAACCACGACCGACUGAGAUACAAUCGUCUCCUGUAGCUAUUAAACUGUCAGCGAUAUGAACGUUGACCGCAUUGCUCAAAUGGAUGCCAUCGGUGUUGGGACUUUCAGCAGGGGCAAUAAUCUUAAUGUUUUGGACGUUGACAUUUGUAGUUUUUACCAAGAACAUGUGGAAGGCCUUUGCGUUGACCGAGCUAAUGCCGGAAAUGUCAAGGUUUAAAAUGUUUCUGAAUUUUAGAGA
rnacentral:lncRNA from 1 species